rnacentral:rRNA from 1 species
UACGUAGGGGGCGAGCGUUGUCCGGAAUCAUUGGGCGUAAAGAGCGUGUAGGCGGCUUGGUAAGUCCGCUGUGAAAGUCCAGGGCUCAACCCUGGAAUGCCGGUGGAAACUGUCAAGCUUGAGUCCGGAAGAGGCGAGUGGAAUUCCUGGUGUAGCGGUGAAAUGCGCAGAUAUCAGGAGGAACACCAAUGGCGAAGGCAGCUCGCUGGGACGGUACUGACGCUGAGACGCGAAAGCGUGGGGAGCAAACAGGAUUAGAACCGUAC